AACAUCGCGCACCUGCGGGAACCUGCGGAAGGAUCAUUACAGAGUUGCAAAACCCCCUAAACCAUUGUGAACGUUACCUAAACCGUUGCUUCGGCGGGCGGCCCGGGUCCUUCCCGGCGCCCCUCGGCCCUCGCGGGCGCCCGCCGGAGGUAAACCAAACUAUUGCAUUGUAUGGCCUCUCUGAGUCUUCUGUACUGAAUAAGUCAAAACUUUCAACAACGGAUCUCAGAUCGGAAGAGC
rnacentral:misc_RNA from 1 species